rnacentral:rRNA from 1 species
UACGUAGGGGGCAAGCGUUGUCCGGAUUUAUUGGGCGUAAAGAGCUCGUAGGCGGUUUGGUAAGUCAGGGGUGAAAUCCUGGAGCUCAACUCCAGAACUGCCUUUGAUACUGGCGAUCUCGAGUCCGGGAGAGGUGAGUGGAACUGCGAGUGUAGAGGUGAAAUUCGUAGAUAUUCGCAAGAACACCAGUGGCGAAGGCGGCUCACUGGCCCGGUACUGACGCUGAGGUGCGAAAGCGUGGGGAGCAAACAGG